GCAAGGCUGGAGUUAUGAAGAGAGCCCAGGAACAGGCUACUGGUGAAAGUGCAGCUCAGUUGUAGAGUGAGACCCCUGUAUUUUGGCGAUGCCAGUGCCAUUGGGUGACUUCCAAGAACAGCAGUAUCAGUUGAUGGAGCCAGCCUGAGCUUUGGAGACAAUUUUUGUUGGCUGCAGUGGGUGGAGCCAAAGAAGUGACCCGGCAUUUUAGAGGAACCCAGAUGCAACGGAUGGAAGUAGAUGCAGAGACCAACUGCCAAACACAAGGUGGAUCCAGGGGAAUCCCACAGAAAGGAAUGGAGAGGGGAUUGCAGGAGCCAGUGAAGUCAAGGACAUCAUGAGAACACAGCCCACAGAAUCAACUAAGCAGAGCUUAUAAGGAAUCACAGAGACUAAAGUAACAAUCAUGGAGCUUGUAUGGAUCUGAGCUAGGUCCUCUGCAUAUGUGUUAUGGUUGUAUAGCUGUGUGUUCUUGUGGAACUUCUAACAAUGGGUGUGGGGGGAGUGUCUCUGACUCUUUUGCCUGCAUUUGGGACCUUUAUCCUCCUAAUAGGUUUUCUCAUCUAGCCCUGGUAAGAGGCUUUGUGCCUAGUCUUAUUGUGACUUGUUAGGCGAUGUUUGGUUGAUAACCCUGGUAGGCUUGCUCUUUUUUAAGGAAAAUGUGAAUCUGGGAAAGAGGGGAGUAGGGGGAGGACUGGGAAAAGUGUAGGGAGGUGAAAAUGUUAUCAGGAUGUCAUUUAUGAGAGAAUAAUAAAAGAAAAGAGAGA